rnacentral:rRNA from 1 species
UACAGAGGGUGCGAGCGUUAAUCGGAAUUACUGGGCGUAAAGCGCGCGUAGGCGGCUUUGCAAGUCGGGUGUGAAAUCCCCAGGCUUAACCUGGGAACUGCAUUCGAGACUGCAUUGCUCGAGUAUGGGAGAGGGAAGUGGAAUUUCCGGUGUAGCGGUGAAAUGCGUAGAUAUCGGAAGGAACAUCAGUGGCGAAAGCGACUUCCUGGACCAAUACUGACGCUCAUGUGCGAAAGCGUGGGGAGCAAACAGG